GCCCAGCAGUGGUUGGUCUAAUGUUUGCAACAUGGCUGCCUCGUGCUCUCAAAAGCCUUUUCCAUCAGUGCCAGCGAGAAAGAUUUAAACCUACAGCGAGGGGUAUGAAAAAUCUUGCGACACAGGCUCUAUGCUGACAGAGUGGCAGGCAGGCACCACUUCCUUUUACUGCCUUCCUCUGGUCACACCUUCUUUGUAACAUUGUGGUUCUCUUUACAAGAAAUUCUUACCAAAGACGAGGACAAAAAACGAUCACAUGCCCUGAGCAGCUGAUCUCUGUUUCCUGUAUCUGCAUGUCAGCCAAAAUACUGCCAUAUACAGAAACACUGAGAAGAGGCCCAAGCAAACCAGUUCAAGGACUUGAGGGCUUUGUCUUCAGAUUGAACAUAAAGCUGACAGGAACAGAGUCAGAAGUUUGGCUGGAGUCCAAGCUGACCUCGUUGCUCUGUGCAAAUAUCUGCCACUAGAUGGCGAUGGAGACCACUACACACUGGAUGGAUACUGUAAAAACCCAGAGGGUCAUGUACAGUAAGGAGAGCCCUUGUGGAACAGUCCACUGUGAGGCUUUUCAUGCACCUUUGAUGACAGCGCAGGCAAAGUGGAGGCUGGACAACAGUUUGAGUGGAAUGGCAACAGCCCCUGUGUUCAGUGUGUGAUGUUUAUGAGCUGAAUGAUUAAAAUGAAUACAUGUCAAGGAAAUAAAUGCAUUAAAACCAAAAAUAAAACCCUGGUUUUCCCCAAAA